rnacentral:tRNA from 1 species
UAGCCUAGUGGUUAAGGCAAUGGAUCGCCAAUCCGGAGACGGCGGGUUCGAAUCACGU